rnacentral:rRNA from 1 species
UACGUAGGGGCAAGCGUUGUCCGGAAUCAUUGGGCGUAAAGAGCGUGUAGGCGGCCCGAUAAGUCCGCUGUGAAAGUCCAGGGCUCAACCCUGGGAUGCCGGUGGAUACUGUCGGGCUCGAGUCCGGAAGAGGAGUGUGGAAUUCCUGGUGUAGCGGUGAAAUGCGCAGAGUAUCAGGAGGAACACCGGUGGCGGAAGGCGGGUCUCUGGGCCGAUAUUGACGCUGAGGAGCGAAAGCGUGGGAGCGAACAGG